GUUUGCUCAAUUCAACCUCUGGGUGUUUUACAUAGGGGGAAGUGUCUGAGGGAAAACGUUUAUCAAACAUGAUGCAUUGGUAGGUUAAAUAGAAAAGAUGGAGUGACUAUUCAAAACCAUGGAAGAGAUUAUUUCAAAUGAGGGCACAAACUGACCGCCCGUGCGUCACACCUGGGAGCUGAGCUGAAGCCCAUGAUUUGAUCCGCGAGCCAUUAGACGCCAGAACGAGCAGACCAUGGGCUAAUAGAAUAGUGUCACAUGAAGUUUCGAUUACAAGCCAGACCAAGGGACUCACUAACUGUUCACUACAGGUCUUAAAGGGAUCGAGACACAUGGAAAACAUCAGGUUGGGUCACCACAGCAACUUUGGAUGGAGGCGAAAUAAGAGGAGAGGGCGAUCGCUCAUUAUGGUACAGUUGCUGCUUUUGUUUGGAUUCUGUGGAAUUCUGUUGAAAACUAUUUUAGAAAUCCAUAGGACUGCUCAACAGAAACUCAUCCCUCAUCUGGAAAGAAUAGGAAUUACACCUCGCAUGCAGUCAUCUAGUUUUAACAGAUUCCAACAUACUGCCAUAACUGUGCAGAUUAUUUGGCUAAGAGGACCACUGGAACACCAACAUGUCGUGAUGUGUCAGGAAUUAAUGGACAUUGUUGGCAGAGAUGGCUGAUGACCUGGACAGACUGCAUUCGAAUACUACCUCUACUAGAACUGCCUCUACAUAUGAGAUAGACAAGACGAGACCAGAGCAUGGGCUAUCAAAAGAUGAUGAAGGCCUCCGAAAUUAUAAACUGACAUAGUUUCAUGGGUUUGUGUUGCAAAAGUUCAGGAAUUCAUUGGAAACACUCAAUAUGAAGUGAUCACAUACUCAUGUAUUCCUUUAAUAAUAUUUUGGCUUUGUGUGAUUCUGUGACUAAAUCUAUUCUGUAUUCUUGAUUAAGUCUUCUAUUAAGCUUAAUUUGGCUACAUCAGUGUAUUGUUUAUAAGGCAUGUUACCCAGAUAUUAAUCCUAAUUGGAUCAAUGCAAUUGUUUUAAUUGGCUUGAUAAUGUUUGCAUAUGACCUUGUAGAGCCUUCUUAGGUAUUUGUGUUGUAAUGUUUCUACUACAGGUUUUAUAAUCUGUGACGCCGUUGGCAUUCCAUUGUUGGUUUUUGGCAGUGUGGCAUGCCUGGGUUUGAGUGGUGUUCUCUUGGUCUGCUAUCAAUUUACUGGAACACUUAAAACUCCAAAGAAGGCUACUGACUCAUGUUUGGUCUACUUGGAUAUCUUCCCAUGAUAUGGAACAAUUCUGGAUUCCAUACUGUAGAUGUAUUAUUGCAUUGACUUCUUUUCUUUUUACUUUAUAAAUAUGUGACACCUUAUAGUAUACUAUGGACUGUUCUCUAUGCUACAGCAUGGCUAGUGUUUAUUAUCUAUCUAUCCUGUUGCCGAGACACUUUAUCCCUACCAAUUUGUACAUACAGUGCAUUCAGAAAGUAUUCAAACCACUUGACCUUUUCGACAUUUUGUUACGUUAUAGCCUUACAUGCAGACCAGACGGGACACGUCGCAUGCGCGAGCGUCGCAAAAUACAUUUUGAAUUAUUGCACCCACGCUGCUCGCAUGCCAACUAGUGUCUGCGAUGCCAAGGGCUAAAAUAGAAGUCAUUCCUAUUUCUGACGCAGAUCGCGCUGAAAGUCCUGCCUCUCCCAUCUCCUCAUUGGUUUAUAGAAGCAGCUACCCACGUGCCAUCUCCUCAUUGGUUAUACCCACGUGGGUGAUUGAAAGACUAACUGUUUUGCCGGUCAUUGUGGUAAUACUGUGAAGUUUAGAUGCCAAUCACCAUAUAAGUUCAAAGAUGAAAAAGCCAGGAAGGAGGAGAGAUGACUAGAAACGAUUUGGUCGGCAGUUUUAUGUGUGGAUUAAUUGGCGGAGUAGAGGAGCUUGUGCAUUUCAGGUAAAAUAACAACUCAAUGUUUAUAUCCCAGGACAAAUUAGCUAGCAACAGCAAGCUAGCUAAAUAGGACGAAAUAGGUAGCAAGUGCAAGUUAACUAGUUAAAUUGCCAUACAUGUUUAAUGCUUUUCGACCUGUCCCCAAAUGAAUGUCAUUGGUUCAGAGUUUGUUUUGAUAUUUUAACCUGCGUGACGUGAUCACGUUUGGUGUAGGGGGACAAAAUAAAUGUAUGCCCGAUGGCGCAUGCGCGCAGCCAGUUUGGGUUCCGUGUUACUCUAAAAUGGAUUAAAUCAUUUUUUCCCCCAUCAUCAAUCUACACAACAUACCCCGUAAUGACAAAGCAAAAACAGGUUUUUAGAAAUAUCACUUUUACAUACAGUACCAGUCAAACGUUUGGACACACUUCCUCAUUCAAGUUUUUCUUUAUUUUUUACAUUGUAGAUAAAUAGUGAAGAAAUCAAAACUAUGACAUUACACAUAUGGAAUCAUGUAGUAACCAAAAAAGUGUUAAACAAAUUAGAUUCUUCAAAGUAGCAACCCUUUGCCUUGAUGACAGCUUUGCACACUCUUGGCAUUCUCUCAACCAGCUUCAUGAGUUCAUCACAUGGAAUGCAUUUCAAUUAACAGGUGUGCCUUGUUAAAAAUGUAUUUGUGUAAUUUCUUUUCAUCUUAAUGCGUUUCAGCCAAUCAGUUGUGUUGUGACAAGGUAGGGGUGGCAUACAGAAGAUAGCCCUAGUUGGUAAAAGACCAAGUACAUAUUAUGGUAAGAACAGCUCAAAUAAGCAAAGAGAAAUGACAGUCCAUCAUUACUUUAAGACAUGAAGGUCAGUCAACCUGGAAAAUCAUGUAGAAAACAAUAAAAUAAAGUAAAUCCUGAAAUGAGUAGGUGUGUCCAAACUUUUGAAUGUUACUGUAAAUAUUCAGACCUUUACUCAGUACUACGUUGAAGCACCUUUGGCAGUGAUUACAGCCUCAAAUCUUCUUGGGUAUGAUGCUACAAGCUUGGCACACCUGUAUUUAAUGAGUUUCUCCCAUUCUUCUCUGCAGAUCCUCUCAAGCUCUAUCAGGUUGGAUGGGGAGUGUCGCUGCCAGCUAUUUUCAGGUCUCUCCAGAGAUGUUUGAUCGAGUUCAAGCCCAGGCUGGGGCUGGGCCACUCAAGAAUAUUCAAAGACUUGCCCCGAAGCCACUGUGUGCUUAGGGUCAUUGUCCUUUUGGAAGGUGAACUUUCACCCCAGUCUGAGGUCCUGAGCGAUCUGGAGCAGUUUUUCAUCAAGUUUCUCUCUGUACUUGGCUCCGUUCAUCUGCCACCACCAUGCUUCGCCGUAGGGAUGGUGCCAGGUUUCCUCCAGAUGUGACACUUGGCAUUCAGGCCAAAGAGUUCAACCUUGGUUUCAUUAGACCAGAGAAUCUUGUAGAGUCUGGCCAAUCUACCAUAAUGGCCUGAUUGGUGGAGUGCUGCAGAGAUGGUUGUCCUUCUGGAAGGUUCUCCCAUCUCCACAGAGGGCUCUGUCAGAGUGACCAUCGGGUUCUUGGUCACCUCCCUGAUCAAGGCCCUUCUCCCCCUAUUGCUCAGUUUGGCCGGGCGGCCGGCUCAAGGAAGAGUCUUGGUGGUUCCAAAUCAAGUUGUAGAAUCAUCUGAAGGAUGAUCAAGAGAAACAGGAUGCACCUGAUCUCAAUUUCGAGUCUCAUAGCAAAGGGUCUGAAUACUCAUGUAAUGAAGCUUAUUUCCAUUUUUUAUUUUUAAUACAUUUGCAAACAUUUCUACAAACCUGUUUUCGCUCGUCAGUAUGGGGCAUUGUGUGAUUGAUGAGGAAAAAAAAACAUAUUUAACCAAUUUAAGAAUAAGGCUGUAAUGUAACAAAAUGUGUAAAAGGGAAGGGGUCUGAUAACUUUCCGAAUGCACUGUAUCUAAGCAAUUUACCUCGUAUCAUUACUCAUUAUGUACUUUUUUUCCUCUGCAUUGUGGGUAAGUUUCUCUACACCUUUUCUACAUCUUUUCCUUAUGAAGCAUUUGACAAUAAAAUGUGAUUUGUAGUAUUGAAAAAUUUGAUAAGGACAAAUAUUAUUGACCCCAGAGUUGUAUAGUAACAACAUUUUAUUUUUAAUUCAUUGCACUUUUCCUCUGAUGUUUUCAUGUCAAGUAUUUCUAGUAUAAUUUUACACAGCACAGGCUUGAAGGGACAGAAGCUUUGAAGUCAUGCCCACCUAUUUUAUAACCUGCAACAACCAUGGGUUGUGCUUUUUGAGAGCAACUCAGAGCAUGGAGAAUCCCCAUUGAGCUGUACCCCUCAGAUGUAUAAGCUCAGAAUAUGUGUAUAUGUAGUGUUGCUUUUUCACCUCUGUUAUGGUUAGUGUGUGCUGUCCUUGUUCAUACAAGAAUGCUGUGGCAGGGCCAGCCCAGAAAAGUGUGCUCUGGGACAUUCAAGGCCUGCUAUCGAGAGGCAGUGUGAUAUCAUUUUCCGGCAAACCAGAAAUCAAGGCCUUGGACAGACCUUUUCUAUGUCAGGGAUAGGGGUAGUGUAUGUUUUCUGACAGUUGCUCCUUUCAAGAUUAAUGGGUUUAUGAGAACCGUGUGUCUUCCUCCAAAAGCCAAGCUCAAAAUCUGUCAGUGUUACCAGCAGCAUAAUAGUGAAGUCCUGACAUUGGAAUCCAAAAGACAGAGUGAGUUUUGAUGUCACAACAGAGCAGAACAUUGUCUCUAUACUGUGUGUGUGCUCAUGUGUGUAUGUGUUUUAAAGACUUAUGUUUGGUAUAGCCAUCUUGAUUUUGUUAUAUUAAGGAUGGAAAAAGCGAACCACUUUUGUUCCAUGUGUUGACCUUCGUCUGUAACAACUUUAACAAUAGGAUUGAUAUCUGUAGGGAUGGUAAAUAUAUAGAUUUUUAGCAAUGUAGGUUCAGCAUCUUUGAGUUGUUAUAUCAUGCACUCCAAAAUGAGAACAGUUGCAUAAAACUUCAGGUUUGGUUUAAGUGUGGUUUAAGUUUCUCUAGGUGACUUUAUCAUUCUUGUUUACUCUUGAGAUGAAGAGGAGAAGAGUAAUUACAGUAAAUUACAAUCUGACCAAAUAAUUUAUGUAUGAUUCAUUUUUGAAUAUUGUUAUCAUGUACUUAUACCACUGAAUGCAACAGCAUUUCACUUAUCUGUAAUUAGUUUCACAUCAUUGGAUUUUAUUUAUUUUAAAGUAGAAAGCAGAAAAACACAAGCCCUUUUGAUCUGGUGAUCAUGGACACAAGAGUGGUCUGAACCGUGGAGAGUCACCUUUAAAUUGGUGGCUCAAGAUGAGGACUAAUCGUCUCCCGUACAGGCUUCAGGGCUGGAUUCAAUCCCAAUAUCACGGAAGAUACACAUUAUAGCUGGAUUGAAAUUUAAAGGCAAUGUUCCCACAUUUGUGGAGACUGCAUUCACAUUAAAUGCUACAUAUGUCGCCUCAAUCGUAAAUUACCUUUACAUUUUCACGCAGAUCGUUCACGAUACUUCAGCGAUACGGAUUGAAUCCAGCACUUAGUUGCUGUGGGUGGAUGUGAAAUCUAGGGUGAUCAGGAGGCAAGGCACUGGCAUCCAGGCAGCCUUGUUGUAUCUGUGUGGACCUCAGUGAACCACUGCCAGACACCCAUAAAUACGUUCCCUUAUUUCUAACAUGGUGUGGAUGCCAGUUGGUGCUAGAAGUGGGUUUGUUUUGGGUGUUCUCAAUGUAUUCCCGCCAGCGCCUCACUUCCACGUUUCUCAUAAGAGAGCCACUGACUUCCUAAAAUGCAUAUGUAUUCAUACUGGUAGUCGUCUGUCAUUUCAGUGAUUUGUUGAAAGCUGCAUAAGUUAAGUCCAGUGUCUGUACAAAGGAGACCUGUUUGUCCAGACACACAUGGAUUAAUCAACUAGACAUCCCACAUUCACAAAGUGUAGUGUCACAUAAAUGCAGAAUCAACAUGAAUUUGAACCUCAACUAUGUUCAGUAAUCCUAUCCCUGGGUAUUCAAAUCAGUAUUGAAUGUUGAACCAGCUGAAUCUUACAGUCAGUUUAGAGUAUUUAGAAUUUACUACUCAUUAAAAAAGUACUUUGCAUUCUAGAAAAUAACUCUUGAAUAACACUUACUUUAACACUUAAACUUAAGUAACACUUGAACAAUUGCAGAAUCCAAAUUAGAUUUAAUUUCAUAGUAUUUGAAAUACAGUGCACACAUGAUUUAAUAAGUCUUCUUUUAAACCUUCCAAAAUGGGGGACCGUAGCUCACUCAUACAAGUGGCGAAAUGCCUGACAUGUUUGCAUAGAAUAGGGACAGGCAGGACUACAUCCAAGCCUGGACUUGCUGGCCAAGAAAAAACACAAACAUACACACACACACCCAAACACACAAGUAGAUGGAGGGUGCAUACUGCAGAAAUCACUACUUUAGAAUUACAGAUAGAGGAUCUUAAUUUGACACGUAUUAUCACAUCAAAAUAAUCCUGCAGCAACAGGAUAUGAACGUUUAGUCCAUAAUGUUGCUUGAUUGGUGGUUAGGAUGUAAACUGGUCAAAUUUAGGCUCCAUGGAAUGUGCAAUACCAAUAUAAACAUGUGCAGGUGUCACGUCCUGACCUUAGUUCAUUUUUUAUGUCUCUAUUUUAGUUUGGUCAGGGCAUGAGUUGGGGCUGGCAUUCUAUGUUUUGUGUUCUAUGUUUUCUAUCUCUAUGUAUUUGGCCUGGUAUGGUUCCCAAUCAGAGGCAGCUGGCAAUCGUUGUCUCUGAUCUGUUUUCCCAUUUUUGAGUUGUGGUUGAUUGUUUUCUGUUUUGUAUGAGUACCUGACAGAACUGUUGCGUUUUGUUCUACUUUUGUUUCAGUGUUCCGGUUAUAAUAAACAACAUGGACACUUACCACGCUGCGCAUUGGUCCGAUAUUUCCUACUCUUCUUCAGAAAAGGAGAAGAAUCGUUAUAGAAUCACCCACAACCAAAAAAGGACCAAACAGUGUGAUAACCUGGAGCAGAGGGUUUUGGACUCCUGGACUUGGGAGGAGAUACUGGAAGGCAAGGGACCCUGGGCACAGGCUGGGGAAUAUCGCCGCCCCAAGGAAGAGCUGGAGGCAGCGAAAGCUAAGCGGCGGUGAUUUGAGGUAAGGCGUUUGAGGUAAGGCAGUGCAACAGGCACGAGAGGCAGCCCCCCCCAAAAAAAAAUAAUUUGGGGGCACACCGUGCUUACCGUGACGGGCGUCGUACUGGUCAGGCACCGUGUUAUGCGGUCAAGCGCACGGUGUCUCCAGUGCGUGUUCAUAGCCCGGUGCGCUACAUCCCAGCCCCCCUUAAGUGCCAUGUGAGAGUGGGCAUCCAGCCAGGGCGUAUUGUGCCGGCCCAGCGUGUUUGGUCUCCGGUAUGCCGUUUCGGCCC